rnacentral:lncRNA from 10 species
GUUAAGUAGAUCCUUGAUGACUGAAACGUGACAAUGCUGAAAUGGCUGUGGAGUACUGUUUGGAGUUUGUGGGGGUGGGGUUUGUAAACUGGAGAACUUUAUGUUAGAGUUUCUUAUUAUUGACAUUUGAGGCUAAAUAAUUCUUUGUUGUCUGAGUCUCUCCUCCACGGUGUAGUAUGUUUCGCAGCACCUCUGGCCUCUACCCUCCACGUGCCAGUAGCACCUUCCCCAAGUUUGUUGUCCUCACAGACAACCAAAAAUGUCUUCUCUACUCACUCCCAAAUGUCCUGGGGGGGCAAAAUCACUCACUGCGGAGAACCAUGGCAUUAGGGUGAUGGAGUAGAAAGCCUGCUCUACUCAGAAGGACUUCUAAGUGCCAGAAGGUGCAGGUCUGCUCUCUGGGGCCACUCAGUGCUUUGAAGGACACCUGAUUUAUUUUGGAGAUGGACACUUAACUGCUGAAUACACUGGCAUGGGUCUCUGCCUCCUCUCUGUCAGGAAGGAGAGAGAGAAGUUAACCACACAGAACUGACCACCCUCUUUACCCAGAAGGAGCUGAUCAGCCAUCUUUAGGCAGAAGGCUUCCUCCAGCUGCACCCAGAUUCCCCUUCUGUCUCCCACAGCACCCUGGGCUUACUUCUCCAGAUCAUGUAACACCCUGUGCUAAGAUUGUUUAUCUCUUGUCUGACUUCUUGAGUGGAUCAUAAGCUCUUUGAAUGCAGGCAUUGUGUCUUCUCACUCGCAACAUCUCCAGUGUUGAGGACAGAAGUGCCCACAGUGCAUAGGAUAUACUCAAUAAAGGAUUAUCAAAUGUCAUGGAAAUAAGGCCUUAAUUUAAAUUCAGUGGGAAGAGAUUUUCUUGAACUUUAAGAAGACUUGGGGACAAAAUUUGAACUUCUUGUAUGUGUUUCUCCUCAAAGAGCAUAGCUCUGCCUUAAUUCUUCUGAAUCUGACAUCGAGCCUCUGGAGUUUACUAGACUCUUAGGCUGGGAAGCUCUUGGUCCAUUUUUGAUCCACUGCAUUCUGCAGUGAGAUGAAGCCCAUUCCUCUGACAUCCCACUUGGUGUGCCAUGCUGAUAAACCCAUAACACUGAUGCUGUAGAUUAAUGGCAUGCCUUCACUUAUGAACACUUUUUCCCCAUGGUGACUAAUGGCAUUUUGAUGGUGUCUCCUUAGACAGCUGCCUAAAUAUAAAGCAGUAUGAGCUAAAAGAAUAAAUUGAAAAUGUCAGUCGUUUUGUGUAAUCCUUCCAUAAUAUUAUCUGGGAGCCCAGCCUAGCUUUAUGGAAAUCAUUCAGUAGAAUCAGACAAGAUUUUUCCUACAGCACUUUUAUGUUUGCAAAACCAUCAUCAUUGUCAGCUUUAAUUAAUAUUUAUUUCUGUGUAUCACACCUCAUGUUAAUAACUCUCCUCCAGGACUAUUAACAAAAUCCAGAACUGUUAUUUUUCAAUAGAGGAAGCGGAGGUAUACACAGAGGUUUGACAGCUUGCUUAAGGCUACAGGAUAAACUCAGAGUCAAGCUGAGACCAGGAGGCACAGAUCUUCAUCUCCCUGAGAAGGGCGGCUGCUCUAGGGUCAGCUUUGGGACAUAUGCCUCACCUUUGUGUGCCCAUCAGACAAAGUGAGCCACCUGGUAGCUAUGCCUGGACAUGGUAAGAAGCACGCUUUUGAAAUGAAGAGGGAGCCAUCUCAUUUUCCUGGCAUAUGUCACAUCUCUUACUGAAGGGAGAGACCCAUAGCUGCCUGUAUUGUCCGUUGGGGCAUGUCACGGUCUAGAGACAUAUGAAAGACAAAAAAGCUCACUUGUCAUCUGCCUUUCAGUCUAGGAGAGACAGCCCGAGACUGCUGCCGUGGUGGCUGUGAGACGCUGUGUCACAUAUUAAUUAGGAGGAGCAUAUGUAGCAUUUCUAAGCCAGGGGCCAUUUGUGGCGGCAGCAGCCACGCAGGAGGCAGGGAGUGCAGCUAGUAGCUAAAUGGAGGGUUUAGGAUGCAGGUUCUCGGCUCAGACACCGGGAAUGAAUCCGUUAAGAGAAUGUUGCGGCCCUCCAGGCCCCGCUCCUCCUGCCUCGCAGGUGCAGUCACUUGCUGCCCUGGGUUCCCGCGCAACCAGAAGCUUCCUGGGCCCAGCGAAAGUUCUCAUCCCCUGCUCUGUAGCCCUUGAGACGCGCGGGAGGGUUGGAAAAGCCGAGCCGAUUGUGGGUGGCAGGCCUCCACAGAGAUCGAUUUGAAGGCAGAAGCUGAACUCAUCAUACCUCUUUAGAGAAGAAGUAGUAACGUGCCCUUUUCGCUCAACAAAAACCUGGGCAAGGCCAAGGGAAAGGAUAGCAUGCCCCAUGCGGUGAGCAAGGGCGCGUGCGCAGAGUAGCCCGGCCCAACACUCACCUGGAAAUGCGGCUGGGCCAGGGUACAAAUCACAGUCUCUCUUCCAUCCCCGCCCCUGCCACCCACUUCCCUCCUCCGACUUGGCUUUCUGCGAGUGCGCGUGAGGAGAGACUUAUCCAAGGUCAGGGACAGAAGUCAGAAGAUCCUGAUGGUUGCCUGCUCCUUACUAACUGUGUAGCCUUUGGUGCCAUGUUGUGAGGAAACCCAGAUCACAUUAAGAGGCCACGAGUAAGUGUUCCAAACGACAGACCCUGCUAAGGUCUCAGCUGACAGCCAGCAUCAACUGCCAGACAA